rnacentral:lncRNA from 1 species
GGCACUCCUGUCUUCCACUGCCUCCCGCAGUUUGGUCAAACUCAUGCUGGUAGCUUCGAGAACACUGUCCAACCAUCUCGCCCUCUGUUGUCCCCUUCUCCUUGUGCCCUCCAUCUUUCCCAACAUCAGGGUCUUUUCCAGGGAGUCUUCUCUUCUCAUGAGGUGGCCAAAGUCUUGGAGCCUCAGCUUCACGAUCUGUCCUUCCAGUGAGCACUCAGGGCUGAUUUCCUCCAGAAUGGAGAGGUUUGAUCUUCUUGCAGUCCAUGGGACUCUUGAGUCUCCUCCAGCACCAUAAUUCAAAAGCAUCAAUUCUUC